GGCCUCGUAGCUCAGCUGAUAGAGCGGCGUCCAUGCGUGGGUUCGAACCCCACCGGGGCUA
rnacentral:tRNA from 1 species